CCUACGGGAGACUGCAGUGGGGAAUAUUGGACAAUGGGGGGAACCCUGAUCCAGCGACGCCGCGUGAGUGAAGAAGUAUUUCGGUAUGUAAAGCUCUAUCAGCAGGGAAGAAAAUGACGGUACCUGACUAAGAAGCCCCGGCUAACUACGUGCCAGCAGCCGCGGUAAUACGUAGGGGGCAAGCGUUAUCCGGAUUUACUGGGUGUAAAGGGAGCGUAGACGGUGCAGCAAGUCUGAUGUGAAAGGUCGGGGCCCAACCCCGGGACUGCAUUGGAAACUGUUGAACUGGAGUGCAGGAGAGGUAAGCGGAAUUCCUAGUGUAGCGGUGAAAUGCGUAGAUAUUAGGAGGAACACCAGUGGCGAAGGCGGCUUACUGGACUGUAACUGACGUUGAGGCUCGAAAGCGUGGGGAGCAAACAGGAUUAGAUACCCCGGUAGUC
rnacentral:rRNA from 1 species